CAGGCACAUCAUAUCCAUAACACCUGUGCACUUGUCGGAUGGCUUAGUGAAGACCGCAAGGUUGGAUCUAUCCAUCUACUUUACAUAACAAUUCUGUAACAAAUGUAGUCUUAUUAUAACAUAAUAAAACUUUCAACAACGGAUCUCUUGGCUCUCGCAUCGAUGAAGAACGCAGCGAAAUGCGAUAAGUAAUGUGAAUUGCAGAAUUCAGUGAAUCAUCGAAUCUUUGAACGCACCUUGCGCUCCUUGGUAUUCCGAGGAGCAUGCCUGUUUGAGUGUCAUGAAAACCCUCAACCCUAGAUUGGUUAAAACCUUUCUUUGGUUUGGAUUUGGACGUUUGCCGAUGAUAAGUCGGCUCGUCUUAAAAGUAAUAGCUGGAUCUGUCUCGCGACAUGGUUUGACUUGGCGUAAUAAGUAUUUCGCUAAGGACAUCUUCGGAUGGCCGCGUUGCAGGACUAAAGACCGCUUUCUAAUCCAUUGAUCUUACGAUUAAUAUUCUUGACAUCUGGCCUCAAAUCAGGUAGGACUACCCGCUGAACUUAAGCAUAUCA
rnacentral:rRNA from 1 species